CCUACGUGUGGCAGCAGUGGGGAAUAUUGGACAAUGGGCGAAAGCCUGAUCCAGCCAUGCCGCGUGUGUGAAGAAGGCCUUCGGGUUGUAAAGCACUUUCAGUGGGGAAGAAAGCCUUGGGGCUAAUACCCUCGAGGAAGGACAUCACCCACAGAAGAAGCACCGGCUAACUCCGUGCCAGCAGCCGCGGUAAUACGGAGGGUGCGAGCGUUAAUCGGAAUUACUGGGCGUAAAGCGCGCGUAGGCGGUCUGAUAAGCCGGUUGUGAAAGCCCCGGGCUCAACCUGGGAACGGCAUCCGGAACUGUCAGGCUAGAGUGCAGGAGAGGAAGGUAGAAUUCCCGGUGUAGCGGUGAAAUGCGUAGAGAUCGGGAGGAAUACCAGUGGCGAAGGCGGCCUUCUGGACUGACACUGACGCUGAGGUGCGAAAGCGUGGGUAGCGAACAGGAUUAGAUACCCGGGUAGUC
rnacentral:rRNA from 1 species